rnacentral:rRNA from 1 species
UACAGAGGUCUCAAGCGUUUGUUCGGAUUCAUUGGGCGUAAAGGGUGCGUAGGCGGCGCGGUAAGUCGGGUGUGAAAUCUUGGAGCUUAACUCCGAAACUGCAUUCGAUACUGCCGUGCUUGAGGACUGGAGAGGAGACUGGAAUUUACGGUGUAGCGGUGAAAUGCGUAGAUAUCGUAAGGAAGACCAGUGGCGAAAGGCGG